rnacentral:misc_RNA from 1 species
UAGGAUCUGUUAUGUUCAGUUUCCUCAACGUUUUGAGGGAAUUGAUCCUUCUGACCGUUAUGCAAACCACAAUACUGUCUUCUUUGAUGUCAACAUGCGUGCCCUUGAUGGCCUUCAAGGUCCAAUGUAUGUUGGGACUGGUUGUCUCUUCCGUAGGACUGCUCUUUAUGGUUUCGACCCACCACGAAACAAGGAAUACCACCCUGGUUGCUGCAGCUGCUGUUUUGGUCGGCGCAAGCAUAAUGCCACUGUGUCUUCUGUCUCUGAUGACAACAGGGCGCUUAGAAUGGGGGAUUUUGAUGAUGAGGAAAUGAAUCUUGCUUCAUUUCCUAAAAGGUUUGGUAACUCAAGUUUCCUCAUUGAUUCCAUUCCAGUUGCAGAAUUCCAAGGCAGACCACUUGCCGAUCACCCUGCUGUAAAGAAUGGACGACCGCCUGGUGCUCUAACUAUUCCAAGGGAACUUCUUGAUGCCUCCACUGUUGCUGAAGCAAUUAGUGUCAUUUCGUGCUGGUACGAGGACAAAACUGAAUGGGGUAAUAGAGUUGGAUGGAUUUAUGGGUCUGUUACUGAA